rnacentral:rRNA from 1 species
AGAGUUUGAUCCUGGCUCAGAACGAACGCUGGCGGCAGGCUUAACACAUGCAAGUCGAACGGACGUAGCAAUACGUUAGUGGCAGACGGGUGAGGAACACGUGGGAACAUUCCUUUCAGUUCGGAAUAACUCAGGGAAACUUGAGCUAAUACCGGAUACGUCCUUCGGGAGAAAGAUUUAUCGCUGAAAGAUUGGCCCGCGUCUGAUUAGCUAGUUGGUGAGGUAAUGGCUCACCAAGGCUACGAUCAGUAGCUGAUCUGAGAGGAUGAUCAGCCACAUUGGGACUGAGACACGGCCCAAACUCCUACGGGAGGCAGCAGUGGGGAAUAUUGGACAAUGGGCGCAAGCCUGAUCCAGCCAUGCCGCGUGAGUGAUGAAGGCCUUCGGGUUGAAAAGCUCUUUUGUCCGAGGAGAUAAUGACUGUACCGGAAGAAUAAGCCC